AGCAGAUGAAGGAGGGGCCAGGCAGGUCUCCAAGUGGAGAGGAUGCGCUUGUCUGUUUCCUGCCAUGUCCUCAAGGCUAGACCUCAGGAACGCAUACUGUUGUUUGCCGAUCACGGGCCUGGAAGAAGACGUUUGCAUGUUUGGGGCCUGCUAAGAUACAGUCAAUGCCAUUUUAAAGGAAGAUCAAGGGAUCAAGGCCAAGUCCAAAAAUUUUACAACAAGAUGAAUAAUUUCUUCCAUUUAAAAUCCUAUGUUUCCAUAGGUCUAAUUUUCUGAAAUAUAAUUUACACCAUUACAAUAGGAAGAAAAUAAUUUAAAUAUCUGCACAAAAUGGUAUCACCCCAUUGGUCUUUUAGCUUUCAUUGGGAGCAUCAGCUUUUCGUAAUAAAGACGCAUCAGUGUAAGUUUUCUAUCUCUGG
rnacentral:lncRNA from 1 species